rnacentral:rRNA from 1 species
GAUGAACGCUAGCGAUAGGCUUAACACAUGCAAGUCGAGGGGCAGCAUGGUCUUAGCUUGCUAAGACUGAUGGCGACCGGCGCACGGGUGCGUAACGCGUAUGCAACUUGCCUCACAGAGGGGGAUAACCCGUCGAAAGACGGACUAAUACCGCGUACACUCCAUCUUGGGCAUCCAAGGUAGAGGAAAUGAAAUUCGCUGUGAGAUAGGCAUGCGUCCCAUUAGCUAGUUGGUGAGGUAACGGCUCACCAAGGCGACGAUGGGUAGGGGAACUGAGAGGUUGAACCCCCACACUGGUACUGAGACACGGACCAGACUCCUACGGGAGGCAGCAGUGAGGAAUAUUGGUCAAUGGGCGAGAGCCUGAACCAGCCAAGUCGCGUGAAGGAUGGCUGUCUUAUGGAUUGUAAACUUCUUUUAUACGGGAAUAACAAGAGUCACGGGUGACUCCCUGCAUGUACCGUAUGAAUAAGCAUCGGCUAACUCCGUG